GGUUGACCACUUGACUUGUGAGAGUUUGAGGAGUUGUUCCCCCUCCGUCCAUUUUCAAGGACUUGCUCUCUUACUGCUUCCGCUUCACCACUUUUUGGCUACUGAGACGUCUUUGAUUUGUUGAGUUCAUUCAUUCAUUCAUCAUCUACCGCUUAUCCUGUACAGAGAGCCAAUCACUCUGUCCCCUUUUGAAGACCUGCUUUGUCUCCUCCAUCAUUCAUUGGGCCACUUUUGGGUUCCUGAUCUUAUUUCAUGUGAAGUUCUUCUUUCUAUGAUUCUUGAGAGAGAGAGAGAGAGAGAG